UACGUAGGCAGCGAGCGUUGUUCGGAAUUACUGGGCGUAAAGAGUCUGUAGGCGGUGCUCUAAGUCUGGUGUGAAAUCUCCCGGCUCAACUGGGAGGGUGCGCCGGAAACUGGAGUGCUCGAGUGUGGGAGAGGUAAGCGGAAUUCCUGGUGUAGCGGUGAAAUGCGUAGAUAUCAGGAGGAACACCUGUGGUGUAGACAGCUUACUGGACCAUCACUGACGCUGAGAGACGAAAGCGUGGGUAG
rnacentral:rRNA from 1 species